GUAAAGGCAUAAGGGAGCUUGACUGCGAGACCUACAAGUCGAGCAGGGUCGAAAGACGGACUUAGUGAUCCGGUGGUUCCGCAUGGAAGGGCCAUCGCUCAACGGAUAAAAGCUACCCCGGGGAUAACAGGCUUAUCUCCCCCAAGAGUUCACAUCGACGGGGAGGUUUGGCACCUCGAUGUCGGCUCAUCGCAUCCUGGGGCUGUAGUCGGUCCCAAGGGUUGGGCUGUUCGCCCAUUAAAGCGGUACGCGAGCUGGGUUCAGAACGUCGUGAGACAGUUCGGUCCCUAUCCGUCGUGGGCGUAGGAAAUUUGAGAGGAGCUGUCCUUAGUACGAGAGGACCGGGAUGGACAUACCUCUGGUGUACCAGUUGUCGUGCCAACGGCAUAGCUGGGUAGCUAUGUGUGGACGGGAUAAGUGCUGAAAGCAUCUAAGCAUGAAGCCCCCCUCAAGAUGAGAUUUCCCAACUUCGGUUAUAAGAUCCCUCAAAGAUGAUGAGGUUAAUAGGUUCGAGGUGGAAGCAUGGUGACAUGUGGAGCUGACGAAUACUAAUCGAUCGAAGACUUAAUCAAAUU
rnacentral:rRNA from 2 species